rnacentral:rRNA from 1 species
AACGAACGCUGGCGGCAGGCCUAACACAUGCAAGUCGAACGCCCUAGCAAUAGGGAGUGGCAGACGGGUGAGUAACACGUGGGAACCUUCCCUAUAGUACGGAAUAGCCCAGGGAAACUUGGAGUAAUACCGUAUACGCCCGAGAGGGGAAAGAUUUAUCGCUAUAGGAUGGGCCCGCGUCGGAUUAGCUAGUUGGUGAGGUAAUGGCUCACCAAGGCAACGAUCCGUAGCUGGUUUGAGAGAAUGACCAGCCACACUGGGACUGAGACACGGCCCAGACUCCUACGGGAGGCAGCAGUGGGGAAUCUUGGACAAUGGGCGCAAGCCUGAUCCAGCCAUGCCGCGUGAGUGAUGAAGGCCUUAGGGUUGUAAAGCUCUUUUGGCGGGGACGAUAAUGACGGUACCCGCAGAAUAAGUCCCGGCUAACUUCGUGCCAGCAGCCGCCGUAAGAC